AACAAAUUACUCUCAUCAUAGGAAAAUGAGUUACCUGAAUCGUGUUUACAUGGCAGCCAGCGUGGCCGUCGUUCAAGGCCGUGCAGACCAAGGCUAUAAAUGGACAUCCAGCUUCAAGUCUCUGCAGCACGGCAAGAGAAGGCUGUUCCCCACCGGAGAAUCGUCGGAGCUCCGGCCACUAGCUGGAGCAGCCGGAUCAGAUCGCGACGGAGUUCCUAAAAGUCCUCGCUUGGACGGAGUGAGGGAAAACGAUGAGUCUUUUCGACGAGUGAUGUACCUAAACUGCUGGGGCCAGGGGUGAACUCAGUGUUAAUCCGGGCGUGUGAUCGGAGCUCAAGAAUGAGUUGUAAAGUUGAGAUGAGCUGACACGGAUAUGAGUUGUGAAUCACAGAGAGGUUGAGUGGGCGUUGACCGAGUUAGAAGAGAAUGUAGAGACGAGUUGGGAUUUGCGAAUGCAAUUAGUCAUAUCUUUUGUAAAAGAAAAAACUGUUUGUAAAAGAAAGAACUGUAAAUUUGU
rnacentral:misc_RNA from 1 species